GUCAAGAAGGUCAAAUUACUCUGAAGCAACAAGGGAGGUCAAAAAUUGAUGGUUAAGUUAACCUCUGGGCAUAGUACAUGAAGAAUAUCUGUCCAACUGCGUCACCAUUUGGAUCAGGGGAGUGUUCCCCGUUUAAAGAGCAUGUAUGGCUUCAGGUGCUUCAGGUUUAUCCGAGGGAUAACAAAGAUGGAAUGGUUCAAAAAACAAGACAUAAGGAAAAAAGAUGCUUAUAUCAAUACAGUAGCCUACCACUACCAGGUUUUCUCGAAUACUGCAAUUUUCAAUUGAUUUUUAGUAUGGUGUGCGAUGUAUUUCCUUUUAAUUUAUUAUGUUCCUUGAGAUGAGAUGAAGGGUAUGAAAAUGUGUACACUGUGAAACUAAUAUGUAUAUUGUUGGAAGUUUUUAAAAAAUGGAAUCUACAAAUAAUGUGGCGUAUCUAACUAAUAUAGUUGACAA